UUGAUGGACUGGGGGCUGCUGGCGGCCGAGGGGCCAGGCUGAUGUCCUCCGGGUGGGGGAAAGUCUUCCCCCUCCUCUGCUGGGAUAAAUACAGGUGUCCGUCUGCUUUGUCUGAAAAACAACAACACCGGCCUGAAAACUUUCUUCCCCCAUGACGCGUUCACAGCUGCGGUUACUGUACACCGCCUUCAACGCUGGAGACCUGCCUGGGUGUUUCUGUCAUUUCAGGGUCUGCCUCUAUAAUAUUCUCCACACUCAAAGGCAAUGGAGACAAUGGCCUGAAUUGUGUGGAGUGCUAGGUGGUGGUUCCGAAUGGGACAAUCUUCUAUCAGUUCUUAAGGCCUCAGCACACCUCAGAAUUCUGCCUUCCGUGGAAAUCCAAAUUGAACUAAAGGUUUUGUUUCAUGACAUACAAGAGUUGCAUACAAUUUAGCUGCUUGGAGAGAGGAGAAACGCAAACAAUUCUAAAUGCGUGGAGAUAAUCAACUAAAAUAUGUUAAGAAUGCCAAAUCACUAAAUCUUGCAGUGAAUUCAUUUAAAAGGUGUGCUUGCUGAGGUAAAUAAUACUUAACAUUGCUUACAGUCAAUCUAGAAUAUGGUGGAUUGUGAAAUCUUAAGCAUGAAUUAGUAAAAUAUAAAUUUAAAUAAAAUAUCUGAAAGAACUGAUCAAAGGUCAUAGAUUCAAAAUGUUAAUUUUGUUUCCCUCUUCACAGAUGUUGCAUGGUUUACUGGGUGUUUCCAGCAUUUUCUAGUUUCAUGUCACAAAGAAUUUCUGUAUGUAAAGAAUGGUAACUCUCUGAAUUACCUCACAGUAUGUUUCCAUGGAGCUUCUCACCCAGAAGGUUGCAAAGUAAGUUACUACCAACUGGAUGAUAACAGGUGCCUUGGACCUGCACUUUUCCCAUGUGAUGAGUUUCUGCAUACACUCACAAAGAAGGAAGGAACAUUAGAGAAUGGAUCAACCUUUGCCAUCUGUACUCCUCUGUUAACAGAGAGCCAUUGAGGAAGAACUGGAACUGGAAAAUCAUCUUUCCUCUCCUAAACCACUCCGCCAAAGAAAACUUGAAUCCACAACACAAGGACGUUUUAACAUCUGAUUCCAAAAUCUGGAAAUUCAAGUAACUGUGAAGUUGUAGUCUGAUCCUUAUAAUCCAA